rnacentral:rRNA from 1 species
CCUACGGGUGGCAGCAGUGAGGAAUAUUGGUCAAUGGGCGCGAGCCUGAACCAGCCAAGUAGCGUGAAGGAUGACUGCCCUACGGGUUGUAAACUUCUUUUAUAAAGGAAUAAAAUGAGGCACGUUUGCCUUUUUGUAUGUACUUUAUGAAUAAGGAUCGGGUAACUCCUUGCCAGCAGCCGCGGUAAUACGGAGGAACAGAGCGUUUUCCGGAUUUUUUGGGUUUAAAGGGAGUCUAGGUGGGUUUUUAAUUCAGUUGUGAAAGUUUGCGGCUCAAACGUAAAAUUGCAAUUGAUACUGGCAGUCUUGAGUACAGUUGAGGUAGGCGGAAUUCGUGGUGUAGCGGUGAAAUGCUUAGAUAUCACGAAGAACUCCGAUUGCGAAGGCAGCUUACUAAACUGCCACUGACAUUGAUGCUCGAAAGUGUGGGUAUCAAACAGGAUUAGAUACCCGUGUAGUC